UACGUAGGGUGCGAGCGUUAAUCGGAAUUACUGGGCGUAAAGUGUGCGCAGGCGGCUUCGCAAGUCGAGUGUGAAAUCCCCGGGCUCAACCUGGGAACUGCAUCUGUGACUGCAUCGCUGGAAUGCGGCAGAGGGGGGAUGGAAUUCCGCGUGUAGCAGUGAAAUGCGUAGAUAUGCGGAGGAACACCGAUGGCGAAGGCAAUCCCCUGGGCCUGCACUGACGCUCAUGCACGAAAGCGUGGGGAGCAAACAGG
rnacentral:rRNA from 1 species